rnacentral:rRNA from 1 species
AUGAACGCUGGCGGCGUGCCUAACACAUGCAAGUCGAACGGAGUUUACAUGAAACCUAGUGAUUGUAAACUUAGUGGCGGACGGGUGAGUAACGCGUGGGUAACCUGCCCUGUACUGGGGGAUAACACUUAGAAAUAGGUGCUAAUACCGCAUAAGCGCACAGUGCCGCAUGGCACAGUGUGAAAAACUCCGGUGGUACAGGAUGGACCCGCGUCUGAUUAGAUAGUUGGUGAGGUAACGGCCCACCAAGUCAACGAUCAGUAGCCGGCCUGAGAGGGUGAACGGCCACAUUGGGACUGAGACACGGCCCAAACUCCUACGGGAGGCAGCAGUGGGGAAUAUUGCACAAUGGGGGAAACCCUGAUGCAGCGACGCCGCGUGAGUGAAGAAGUAUUUCGGUAUGUAAAGCUCUAUCAGCAGGGAAGAAAAUGACGGUACCUGACUAAGAAGCCCCGGCUAACUACGUGCCAGCAGCCGCGGUAAUACGUAGGGGGCAAGCGUUAUCCGGAUUUACUGGGUGUAAAGGGAGCGUAGACGGUGAGACAAGUCUGAAGUGAAAUCCCGGGGCUCAACCCCGGAACUGCUUUGGAAACUGCCUGACUAGAGUGCAGGAGAGGUAAGUGGAAUUCCUAGUGUAGCGGUGAAAUGCGUAGAUAUUAGGAGGAACACCAGUGGCGAAGGCGGCUUACUGGACUGUAACUGACGUUGAGGCUCGAAAGCGUGGGGAGCAAACAGGAUUAGAUACCCUGGUAGUCCACGCGGUAAACGAUGAUUACUAGGUGUCGGGGGUUUAUAAACCUUCGGUGCCGCCGCAAACGCAAUAAGUAAUCCACCUGGGGAGUACGUUCGCAAGAAUGAAACUCAACGGAAUUGACGGGGACCCGCACAAGCGGUGGAGCAUGUGGUUUAAUUCGAAGCAACGCGAAGAACCUUACCUGGUCUUGACAUCCCGAUGAAUAACGGGUAAUGCCGUUAGUACUUCGGUACAUUGGAGACAGGUGGUGCAUGGUUGUCGUCAGCUCGUGUCGUGAGAUGUUGGGUUAAGUCCCGCAACGAGCGCAACCCUUAUCUUUAGUAGCCAGCAGUAAGAUGGGAACUCUAGAGAGACUGCCGGGGAUAACCCGGAGGAAGGUGGGGAUGACGUCAAAUCAUCAUGCCCCUUAUGACCAGGGCUACACACGUGCUACAAUGGCGUAAACAAAGGGAAGCGAAACCGCGAGGUGGAGCCAAUCCCAAAAAUAACGUCCCAGUUCGGAUUGUAGUCUGCAACUCGACUACAUGAAGCUGGAAUCGCUAGUAAUCGCAGAUCAGAAUGCUGCGGUGAAUACGUUCCCGGGUCUUGUACACACCGCCCGUCACACCAUGGGAGUCGGAAAUGCCCGAAGCCGGUGACCUAACCGAAAGGAAGGAGCCGUCGAAGGCAGGUCUGAUAACUGGGGUG